rnacentral:lncRNA from 1 species
UUUGUCAUGGCAAAAUUUUAUUUGUUACUUUUGGCAUUAUUUACAAGUAUAAAAUAUUAUUCAUACAUUAUAAUACCAGUCAUGUAGAGUAGCUGGGUAGAGAAGUUAUUAUCAUUGCAGAAACUACAUAUUGCAGAAAUAAUGUCUUUAUAGAAGAGGGACUUCGCUUUUUCUAUUCAUAUGUAAGAGACAUACAAGUGCUACUAGUGCACACUAUUAACUUUACUCAAAAGGCUAACUACAGGAUAUCUUCUAAGAGGAAUUUUGUCUACUGUAUUUCUCUGGCGCACAUGGACUCAAUACCUCAUUGCUUUUCACUUGUGAUGAUGUCUUUUUUUUAUUGCUCUACAUCAUCUAUCCAUUGAGGAUGUUGCUUGAUAUGUGUCCUCUGCAAGUAUAUAGCAAGAUUCUCAAAGCCAAGAGAAGUAUCUUGUAAUUUUUUUUUUUUUUUUUAGAUGGAGUCUCGCUUUGUCACCAGGCUGGAGUGCAGUGGUGCGAUCUCGGCUCACUCACUGCAACCUCCAACUCCCUGGUUCAAGCGAUUCUCCUGCCUCAGCCUCCCAAGUACCUGGGAUUACAGGCAUGCACCACCACACCCAGCUGAUUUUUGUAUUUUUAGUAGAGACGGGGUUUCAUCAUGUUGGCCAGGAUGGCCUCGAUCUCUUGACCUCGUGUUCUGCCUGCCUCGGCCUCCCAAAGUGCUGGGAUUACAGGCGUGAGCCACCGCAUCUGGUCCGAGAAGUAUCUUGUAUUUAUAUAUUGCAAUGAGACUUCUCUCUCACGUCUUCACACUAAAGCAUCAUAUCCCUCCAGUUCUGAAUUUCUCUUGAGCUUCACAAUGUUCUUCUGAGCACUGAAGCAAUAUAAUUUAACUAUAAUUUAUAAAGCUGAAUAAAGCGGUACAUAUAUAAUGCCCAGCAGCAGGUACCUCAAGCUUUACAUAUCUCAAAACUCAAAGUAUUUUUUUCCGUCAAAUCUGUGCCUCCUCAAUAUUUUCACCUUCAGUAGCAGAAGUUUUUCACCCAUGACUUUUCUUUCCCAUUCACCAAAUUUUAAAAUUCCUCCAUCACAAAUGCCUCUUCUGCCACCUCUUUUUAAUUUCCACUAGUCCUGACCAUGUGCAGGUCAUAAUUAUCUGCCUCUUAGACCACUGCAGUAGUCUUCUAAUAGAUUGCUCUGAAUCCAAUUUCUAAUUAGUAGAAUCCAUCCUUUGUAUUCCUCCCCAUGAUACAUUUCCAAAUAUUGCUAUGAUGUACUUAUUCAAUCAAAAAAAUUUGGACAGAAUAUAGUCCAAAUUCUUUACCAUGGCAUUCAAGGCUCUCCAAAAACUGGCCUUGGAUUCCUAGCUGGCUAGCUCAUUGAGGUUAGGAGUAUGUUUCUUAAAAUAUCUGGAUAGAGCAGCAAGUUCUGUGUGUCUCUGUAGAUGUGUGUAUAUUUAUGUACACACAUUUGUUUUAUUGAUGGAAUCAUUAACAUUACUCUCAUGCAUCAUGAUUGCUUAGCUGGAAAUGUUGUCAAAUAAAAAACAGGGCCAGACAGUAGUUGAAGUGGCAAAAACACUGUAGUCAGGAACUACUGCAAUAAGAGAAAAGAGACCUCAAUACAGAGCUGGGCUCAAUUCCAAUUACAGCAUGGACAAGUGGGGAUUUAAAGCCAAGGGGGCGUCAGGUCAAGUGGAUGGAAACUUACUGAUAGGGAACAUCACGGGUG